UCUCCUCCUCCCCCAGCCCCGCAGGGCCCCUUGUGCAGAGCAAGGCUAGCGCUGUACGAGCGGGGUGAGGCGCAGCGCCCUGCUCUUCCCCAGCCCUGGCUAAGUGCAGCGAGCGAGACAGCCCCAGCCUCUGCACCCUCCACGGCAAAAGGACCUCAGUCUGGGGUGGGCAAGCCCCCAACCCCACUCCCCAGCGGGAAUGCUGGACAGGCAGAGCGGCACAAGCCCCUGACCCCGGUCCCUGGCAGGAUCUCGAGGGCCAGAUACAUACAUCUGAUGGGCCAGAAGCGGACCGCAGGCCGUAGUUUGCCCACCCCUGGUCUAGAUGGCUGGCAGGAAGGGCCCAUUCAGGUUGUGACACUACAGGGACAUGUGACCAGGUCACGUGGUACUGGUCUCCAUCUUGGGAUAUCAGGUUUUUUCCACUUGACUGGUGUGGGAACCAAGCUUUGAAACAAAGGGUUCCCGCCCUAUGCAAAAGCUAUGUAAGGCAGGGGAGUGACAUCAAUGUGCUUCUUCACUGACUCCACACCCAAAGAGACUCCUGGAAACACCUGAGAAACAAAGACUGAACUGGGGGAAGUGCUGGACCCAAGCUAAAGGGAUUUUUAGCCUGUGAAUGGAACAUCUGGGGAUUCUAAGCUGUAAGCAAGUGCAGCUUGCCCCUUAAGAAUCUGCAGCCUGGUUGUCUCAUCACUUAGGGUGAGGAUUUGCUAUUCAUAUCCUAUCUAUGUAGUAAAUUAAGCUUAGUUUGCAUAUUUUGUUUAUUUGCUAGGUAAUCUGCUUUGAUCUGUUUGCUAUCACUUAUAAUCACUUAAAAUCUGUCUUUUGCAGUAAUAAACUUGUUUUUGCUUUUGUCUAAAA